UACGUAGGGGGCGAGCGUUGUUCGGAAUUACUGGGCGUAAAGCGCGCGCAGGCGGCUUUCUAAGUCCAUCGGUCAAAUGCCGGGGCUCAACCCCGAGCGUGCCGAGGAUACUGGGAGGCUGGAGACACGUAGAGGCAAGCGGAAUUCCGGGUGUAGCGGUGGAAUGCGUAGAGAGUCCGGAAGAACACCGGAGGCGAAGGCGGCUUGCUGGGCGUGAUCUGACGCGUGAGG
rnacentral:rRNA from 1 species